rnacentral:rRNA from 1 species
AUCGAACGCUGGCGGCAGGCCUAACACAUGCAAGUCGAACGAGUGGCGGACGGGUGAGUAAUGUCUGGGAAACUGCCUGCUGGUGGGGGAUAACUACUGGAAACGGUAGCUAAUACCGCAUACCAUCGGAUGUGCCCAGCUGGGAUUAGCUAGUAGGUGGGGUAAAGGCUCACCUAGGCGACGAUCCCUACCUGGUCUGAGAGGAUGACCGGCCACACGGGAACUGAGACACGGUCCAGACUCCUACGGGAGGCAGCAGUGGGGAAUAUGGCGCAAUGGGCGCGAGCCUGAUGCAGCCAUGCCGCGUGUAUGAAGAAGGCCUUCGGGUUGUAAAGUACGUUCAGCGGGGAGGCGUUACCCGCAGAAGAAGCACCGGCUAACUCCGUGCCAGCCGCCGCGGUAAUAC